CAUAUGUAUCUCCUGCUACUCUGGUGUUAAUGGUGUCCUGUAACACAGGAGUAGCCUUCAGGUCCAGCACACCCUUAUACAGGACGUCUAUCUCACCCAGCUGUAGAUCGUCCAGUGCUCUACUCAGCUUGUCCGUGUCCUGUCUGAACAUGAUCCUGGCUAUUCUUCCCUUCUCCUUCACGUCUGUGACUCCGACAGCCUCCACAUCACCGGCCUCACAUCCCUG